GGCGAGGUGGCCCAAUUGGCAGAGGCGGACGACUCAAAAUCGUCAUGUUGUGGGUUCGAGUCCCACCCUCGCUA
rnacentral:tRNA from 1 species